UCCGAAAUUACAAUAUCGAAAGUUGCAGCACAUUACACCAUGCUACUAAAGAGGAGAAAGAAGCAUAUGUAAAUACACUGGCAUAUAUAUUCAGUAUGACAUGCAUCAAGUACAAAUUGGAACGCUAAAAACUUUGAAAGGCAAUUUGAAAUCGAAAGUUAGAUUGACUUUGAACAAAUAUUUUCCUCCUCCGCCGGUGGACAUCAUUUUUGUAUGAGAGUGCAACAUCACUAUUAUUCUUGGUGCUAGUGUUACUGCAAAAAAUAUCAAUGAGAAUUUUUUGAGAUUCAAAUGUAUGAAUAAAUAAUAAAUUUCUUGAGAAAAAUAAGCAUAAAAAAUAAAUAUACCACAUCAAAGUUAUAAGAAAAAUCUCACCACCAACAAUUAAAAUUAGAGGAAAAUUGAUAAAACUCAUUCCUUUGUAUUUAUUUUGAUCAAAAAUUAAAUGGACAAAAUCAUAAUAGAGAAUAUUACUUACUUGAAUUCAAGCUAGACAAAUAGAUUAGUGUGUAAUAUCACCAUCAUUCAUCUUCACAUAAAAGGUGAAAUUGUUAAAACAAAAAAAAUCUAAAAAAUACAGAAUAUGAGGAAUGCACUAAAUAAAUUCAUGAAUAAAACUAAUGAUCAAUAAUAAAUAAU
rnacentral:lncRNA from 1 species